rnacentral:lncRNA from 1 species
UAGGGGACUAGAAAGCUUCAGGGAAGAAGGGAACAGUUUGCUCCCCUUCUCUAAGCUCGUCGACACUUUCGAGGCCUACUAUGCCGCCGUUGCAAACGAUGGCACAUUAUUUACUUUCCUGACCAACAAAGACGCUCCUUUGUAUAAACUAGUUCGGGUUGAUUUGAACAAACCCGGCUCAUGGACCGAUGUUGUUCCACAAUCCGACAAGGAUGUAUUGGAAAAUGCAUAUGCGGUUAAUGGAGAUCGAUUGAUAGUUCAUUACCUCAGCGACGUUAAGAGUGUGUUGCAGAUCAGAGACUUGCAGACAGGAUCGUAUCUGCAGCAGCUUCCCAUUGAAGUUGGCGCAGUGACUCUGGUAUCUGCAAGGAGGAAGGACAGUUCAGCAUUUAUUGCCUUUGCAGGCUUUCUUUUCCCUGGCAUCAUCUACCAAUGCGAUUUCGAAUCUGGCACUCCAGAAUUGAAGAUAUAUAGGGAGAUGAGUGUACCUGGAUUCGAUAUUUCAGAGUUCCAAGUGAAUCAGGUAUGCUCUUCUUUUGCAGCUGGAUAUUUGAUUUUGAUUCCAAAUGAUGAUUCUUUUCCAUGGUUGAAGGUGUUUGUAACUAGUAAGGACAGGACCAAGUUCCCGAUGUUCAUAGGGU